rnacentral:rRNA from 1 species
UACGUAGGGUGCAAGCGUUGUCCGGAAUUAUUGGGCGUAAAGAGCUCGUAGGCGGCUUGUCGCGUCGGCUGUGAAAACCUAGGGCUCAACCCUGGGCCUGCAGCCGAUACGGGCAAGCUAGAAUUCGGUAGGGGAGACUGGAAUUCCUGGUGUAGCGGUGAAAUGCGCAGAUAUCAGGAGGAACACCGGUGGCGAAGGCGGUUCUCUGGGCCUUACCUGACGCUGAGGAGCGAAAGCAUGGGGAGCAAACAGG